AUCCAGCUGUCGAGUUCCAAAUAGGACGAAACGCGCGUCCUGGAU
rfam:Schistosoma mansoni strain Puerto Rico chromosome 1, complete genome